rnacentral:lncRNA from 1 species
GGAUUCUAUAUUGGAGAUUCUAUAUGGGAAAGCAAAUUAGAAGUAGAAUUUGAUAUCUUUAUUUUAUAUUAAGAUUUAUUAAAGUUAAUGAAAAACUAUGAAAUUUUAUAUAGUAAGAUAUUUGAUUUAGUUAUUUGAAUUAAAGUUGAACAUCAAUUAUUUAGAUUUUGUUCUACUGUUGUUUUAUCAUAUCAUGAUGAGAUGCCUUACAUACUUGUGAAAAGAGUUUUUAAUAAGUAUGCAGU